rnacentral:tRNA from 1 species
GCCGGCGUGGCGCAAUGGUAGCGCGUAGCUUUCCUACAUUGGAGAGGCUGAAGUUGCGGGUUCGAUCCCCGUCGUCGGUU